GUGCAGUUGGCGGUUACAUCAGAAUCGGCCGUUAAAACGCGCUAAUAUUAAAAGCGAAAUAACUCGAAUAUAAUCAAAUAUGACAUUAAACCGAAACGAGAAAUGCUCAAACACUAAGUCUGAGAGAGAGAUUUUAGAUGGGUGAAUCCUUAAUUGGCCCCCUUGGGACAGGAAGCAACCCAGACGCACAACUAUUGAGGAGAAUCGAUGGGAAAGAAAGCACGAUUGAAUAGACUACAAGGAAAGAGAGAACGAGAGUGCUCAUGAGUGAACAGAAUGUAAGGACAAAGGUAUUAUUGAUGAUGCCGGAGGAAAGACCCUCUUCUCCAUCUCUCCUCCUCCGUCGUUCAUGGCUUGUUCAUCCAUCCCCAGUGUCUCUGACUCCUGCGGAGCUUCAGUGUGUCCACAGGAAUUAUCAGACCAAGACCUCUGCCACCAGAGUCGAGCCCUCACAAGAAUAACAGUGUGUUCCAAUGCAUGUGCAAGAAAAAAAGCCAAGGGAAAUUCCCAAGAGGGUUCCAGACAGUUUACACAAAGAGUCAGAGAUUAGACUUCUCUCACCAUCCUCCAAUUACUGGCUUUGCAUAUUUCCUUAUCACACGUAGAUUCAGAGCUUAUGCAUGUCUCAUCUCAAUACCUUCGAGCCAUUUAAUAAGGAGACCCCAAGUUGGACGAAGAAAAGAGGGAGAGGUGUGGUUGAGCAUGCUUUUAUACAUGAAAAUGGAUUGCAUGUUAUGCCAAGUAGAGAUCCGUGCAAUGAGGAUAAAAAAAAACAUUGACAUACAAGUGUUCCAGUGUCAACACUUUCAGUGUAGACAAAGCAGUGUUUUAGUGCAUCAAUGGUCACGUCUUGUUCAAACAGGGUGUCAUGCUCACCAUUGAUACUGUACAUAGUGUAUAGUAAUUAAGAUUAAGUGCAAA